rnacentral:tRNA from 1 species
GCCGGCGUGGUGAAAUUGGUAGACACGAUAGACUCAAAAUCUAUUGUCCGCGAGGAUGUACCGGUUCGAGUCCGGUCGCCGGUA